UUGAUCUUUUACUCUUUUCAUUUUAUUGCUUUUUAUUGUUCUUGCUUAAUUUUUAUUUGGGCUCUUUAUGUUUUUGGGAAAACACAAGUUAGGGGGUAUUUUAUAUAUAUGUACACACGCAAGUUAAGGUCAUUUUGAUUUAUUCCAAAUAUGUUUAAAAUUUUGGAUUUGAAACCCUAGUAUUAGAUAUUGGUUUAAUUCAAGCUCGUCUGCCUAUAUUCAUUUU